rnacentral:tRNA from 1 species
UGCGGAGUAGUUUCUGCUGGUAGAAAUCUGCGGCUUUGAACCGCAAGUCCGCAGGUUCGAUUCCUGCCUCCGCAA